GCGCCCGUAGCUCAACUGGAUAGAGUACUUGACUACGAAUCAAGCGGUUGGAGGUUCGAAUCCUCCCGGGCGCGCCA
rnacentral:tRNA from 1 species